GUACAAUGUGUAUUUAGUAAACAUUCAUCUCAUCAAAGUUUUACAGUCUGGAAGAAGAAAAGAAGGCUAGACAUCUUAAACAAUGAAGACAGAAGGAUUUACCAUAUGAGAUGAACAAAGAAAAAGUAAGACCAGUAAACCAAAACGGGACCAAAUAGGCCAUGACUGAAGUUCAAGUGCAUUCUGCAAGAAAGUGGACAGCCUAGAUUUUGUUCUUUUCAAGGUUGAGAAGGGAUGCCAUAUUUUAGGUUUGAAACCAGACAAGUGAAAGCUGAAUUCCAACCUACUUCAACAUACUUGUACCCACUGUCUUCAAGAUAUCAGUGUUUGAGAUGUCAAAGUUCAAAUAUAAUAGGAACAUGUUAUCUUUGUGAUGGCAUCCUCAAAUCUUAUGCCGUAUAACAAAAUGUUUUAGAACUUAUCAAGCUUUAUCCUGUACCUUGCCAAAAAAACUCAACUCAGCAUAAUUCUCAUUAACUAAUUAUCAGUGUUACGAGGGUUGAUCCAAAGUAAUGUCACAGUGUCCAUAUCUUUAAUAUUUGGCGUCAUAUUAUCAAAUUUGAUAUACCACAAGAUGCACAAAUAUAAAUCUAAUUAAACUUGAAUUUUUCAUUCAAUAAUGUUCAACUGAAUUUAUUUUAUAGAUCUUUAAAUCAUAGAACAUAAGGGGUGUCGCCGCGUCACAACCGAACGUCACAAAAUAAAGUGUAAUUUUUUAGAAUAAAAAGGACAAACCCAAUGAAAAGCAAUUUUUAAAAAGCGCCUAAUCGCAAACUAUUUUAAAAAGACAAAAAUUUGCAUCAUUUUUUUGUCUAAAUUUGGAAAUUAUUUGACAUCAUUGCUAUUUUUGGUUAAUAACAUCGUUGUUUUACUCCGGUGCAUUGAAAAAAGGAAAUGUCGAAAUGGACAAAAAAGCCAAACAAACUGUAAUGCAUUUUUGCUUCGAAUUGGAGAAAUCGCCAGUAGAGAUAGUUACAUUGAUUCACCAAACUCACAGAGAAAGAACUGUAAAUAAGAGACCUGUUUAGAUGGUUUUAGCGAUUUUUGGUGGGUGAUGGGUCAAUGAAUGCGCAGUAGAUGAUAAGAAGACAGAAAGAAGGGGGGGGGGGAACGAAUCGUUCAAUGGUGUGUGACGUUGUCAAAAAAGACAGACAAUUGGAGCGAUAUGUUUAAUUUUAAGUUGGUCUCAUACUACUGUCCAAAGAAUUUUGACAGAAGAAUUAAUUAUGAAAAGGGUAAGUGUACGAUGAGUACAAAGUUUUCUUUAUGAAAGUGAAUUUUGUGAACGCGUUUGUGGAUCUCAAGUAUUUUUAAUGAAACGACGGGAAGCGUUUAAAUGUAUGACGGCGCGUAUCCAUCAGAUGACGUUAUUUAAGUGCGGCGACUACCAUAAUUGCAUGAUGUAUAUAAUCCGAUUUUCUGAAAAGUAUAAAUCAUGUUGAAUUGAAAUUUUCAGGUCUGAUUUGAAAUAAAUGUAGUUUUCAUCAUUAAUAAUUUUGUUGUCUUACGUCGACGGGUAGCGAUUUUAUCGAAGUUGUGACAUUACUUUUGGAUCAACCCUCGUACUUGCAUAUGUCAAUGUAGGUCAUUACUGGUACAUGCCUGACCAACAAAAACUCUAAAAUUGAAAAAUCAGAGACAAGAUUUUCAGAGCAGCAGAAACAGUAAAAUUUGUCACGUAAAUCUAAUGAUAUGUACCGUAGUUGAGAAUACAUGUACUCUUAAUGU